rnacentral:rRNA from 1 species
AACUUAAGCAUAUCAAUAAGCGGAGGAAAAGAAACCAACAGGGAUUACCUCAGUAACGGCGAGUGAAGCGGUAAUAGCUCAAAUUUGAAAUCUGGCUUCGGUCCGAGUUGUAAUUUGUAGAAGAUGCUUCGGGUGUGGCUCCGGUCUAAGUUCCUUGGAACAGGACGUCAUAGAGGGUGAGAAUCCCGUAUGUGACUGGUUGCCUUCGCCUAUGUGAAGCUCUUUCGACGAGUCGAGUUGUUUGGGAAUGCAGCUCAAAAUGGGUGGUAUAUUUCAUCUAAAGCUAAAUAUUGGCCAGAGACCGAUAGCGCACAAGUAGAGUGAUCGAAAGAUGAAAAGCACUUUGGAAAGAGAGUUAAACAGUACGUGAAAUUGUUGAAAGGGAAGCGUUUGCAAUCAGACUUGCACGUUGCCGAUCAUCUGGUGUUCUCACCAGUGCACUCGGUUUCGUUCAGGCCAGCAUCGGUUUGGGUGGUUGGAUAAAGGCCUUGGGAAUGUGGCUCCUCUCGGGGAGUGUUAUAGCCCUCGGUGCAAUGCAGCCUACCUGGACCGAGGACCGCGCUUCGGCUAGGAUGCUGGCGUAAUGAUUGUAAACGACCCGUCUUGAAACACGGACCAAGGAGUCUAACAUCUAUGCGAGUAUUUGGGUGUUAAACCCAUAUGCGUAAUUAACGUGAACGGAGGUAAGAGCCCUUAAGGGUGCAUUAUCGACCGGUCCUGAUGUCUUCGGAAGGAUCUGAGUAAGAGCAUAGCUGUUGGGACCCGAAAGAUGGUGAACUAUGCCUGAAUAGGGUGAAGCCAGAGGAAACUCUGGUGGAGGCUCGCAGCGGUUCUGACGUGCAAAUCGAUCGUCAAAUUUGGGUAUAGGGGCGAAAGACUAAUCGAACCAUCUAGUAGCUGGUUCCUGCCGAAGUUC